GACGAACGCUGGCGGCGUGCUUAACACAUGCAAGUCGAACGGAAAGGCCCUGCUUUUUUGGUGUGCUCGAGUGGCGAACGGGUGAGUAACACGUGAGUAACCUGCCCUUGACUUUGGGAUAACUUCAGGAAACUGGGGCUAAUACCGGAUAGGAGCUCCUGCUUCAGGGUGGGUGUUGGAAAGUUUCGGCGGUUGGGGAUGGACUCGCGGCUUAUCAGCUUGUUGGUGGUGUAGUGGAUUACCAAGGCUUUGACGGGUAGCCGGCCUGAGAGGGUGACCGGCACAAUUGGGACUGAGCUACGGCACAGAGCACUACGGGAGGCAGCAGUGGGGAAUAUUGCACAAUGGGCGGAAGCAUGAUGCAGCAACGCCGCGUGCGGGAUGACGGCCUUCGGGUUGUAAACCGCUUUCGCCUGUGACGAAGCGUGAGUGACGGUAAUGGGUAAAGAAGCACCGGCUAACUACGUG
rnacentral:rRNA from 1 species